rnacentral:rRNA from 1 species
AGUGAACGCUGGCGGUAGGCCUAACACAUGCAAGUCGAACGGCAGCACAGUAAGAGCUUGCUCUUACGGGUGGCGAGUGGCGGACGGGUGAGGAAUACAUCGGAAUCUACUUUUUCGUGGGGGAUAACGUAGGGAAACUUACGCUAAUACCGCAUACGACCUACGGGUGAAAUCAGGGGAUCUUCGGACCUUGCGCGAUUGAAUGAGCCGAUGUCGAAUUAGUUAGUUGGCGGGGGAAAGGCCCACCAAGGCGACGAUCCGUAGCUGGUCUGAGAGGAUGAUCAGCCACACUGGAACUGAGACACGGUCCAGACUCCUAAGGGAGGCAGCAGUGGGGAAUAUUGGACAAUGGGCGGAAGCCUGAUCCAGCCAUACCGCGUGGGUGAAGAAGGCCUUCGGGUUGUAAAGCCCUUUUGUUGGGAAAGAAAAGCAGCAGGUUAAUACCCCGCUGUUCUGACGGUACCCAAAGAAUAAGCACCGGCUAACUUCGUG